rnacentral:rRNA from 1 species
CAGCCGCCGCGGUAAUACGGAGGGUGCGAGCGUUAAUCGGAAUCACUGGGUUUAAAGGGUGCGUAGGCGGGUUAUUAAGUCAGUGGUGAAAGCCUACAGCUUAACUGUAGAAUUGCCAUUGAUACUGAUGAUCUUGAGUAUGAUCGAGGUGGGCGGAAUGUGUCAUGUAGCGGUGAAAUGCUUAGAUAUGACACAGAACACCGAUUGCGAAGGCAGCUCACCAAGUCAUAACUGACGCUGAUGCACGAAAGCGUGGGGAGCAAACAGGAUUAGAUACCCUGGUAGUCCACGCCCUAAACGAUGAUCACUCGAUGUGUGCGAUACACUGUACGCGUCUGAGCGAAAGCAUUAAGUGAUCCACCUGGGGAGUACGACCGCAAGGUUGAAACUCAAAUGAAUUGACGG